rnacentral:tRNA from 1 species
GGCUGAUGUUGGCGCAGUGGUAGAGCACUCGCCUGCUAAGUCAGGAUCCGUUGGUUCGAUCCCUGCCAUAGGAAGUCA